UACGUAGGGUGCAAGCGUUAAUCGGAAUUACUGGGCGUAAAGCGUGCGCAGGCGGUUCUAUAAGACAGAUGUGAAAGCCCCGGGCUCAACCUGGGAAUGGCAUUGGAAACUGGCGGACUCGAGUGUGGCAGAGGGGGGUGGAAUUCCGCGUGUAGCAGUGAAAUGCGUAGAGAUGCGGAGGAACACCGAUGGCGAAGGCAGCCCCCUGGGCUAACACUGACGCUCAGGCACGAAAGCGUGGGGAGCAAACAGG
rnacentral:rRNA from 1 species